UCAGAGAGGUCUGUGGAUGUCCAGUUUCUAAGUAUCAGAGGAGGGCUUGGAACCCAGGUCUACUUGAAGGCAGAUUAUGUACAUCCUCAUGGAGGGAAAAAGAACCUCAGUCGCAGCCCAGAUGAGAAUGUGAGACUAAUCUGCCUUGGGAAUGAAGCAAAGAACUGAAGAAUCCAGGCUCAUAAAAUCCCUUCCUGCUAUGGCUAAAAAGCUUCUAGAUGGUGACUCCCAGCUCAUCUAAGUGGUAUGAUCAGCCAUGUCACUCUUCCUGUCUGACCAACCCAUGAAAAGGACAAAGAGAAAUCAAGG